GACGAACGCUGGCGGCGUGCUUAACACAUGCAAGUCGAGCGGUAAGGCCCUUUCGGGGGUACACGAGCGGCGAACGGGUGAGUAACACGUGGGUGACCUGCCCUCAGCUCUGGGAUAAGCCUGGGAAACUGGGUCUAAUACCGCAUACGACCUACGGGUGAAAGCGGGGGAUCGCAAGACCUCGCGCUAUCGGAGCGGCCGAUGCCAGAUUAGCUAGUUGGUGGGGUAAAGGCCUACCAAGGCGACGAUCUGUAGCUGGUCUGAGAGGACGACCAGCCACACUGGGACUGAGACACGGCCCAGACUCCUACGGGAGGCAGCAGUGGGGAAUUUUGGACAAUGGGCGGCAAGCCUGAUCCAGCCAUGCCGCGUGCGGGAAGAAGG
rnacentral:rRNA from 1 species